rnacentral:tRNA from 1 species
GCCUGUGUUGCUCAGUGGUUGAGCACUGACUUGUCAAUCAGGUGGUCAUGGUUCGAUUCCAGGUGAGGGCA